rnacentral:rRNA from 1 species
GACGAACGCUGGCGGCGUGCUUAACACAUGCAAGUCGAACGGAAAGGCCCUGCUUUUGUGGGGUGCUCGAGUGGCGAACGGGUGAGUAACACGUGAGUAACCUGCCCUUGACUUUGGGAUAACUUCAGGAAACUGGGGCUAAUACCGGAUAGGAGCUCCUGCUGCAUGGUGGGGGUUGGAAAGUUUCGGCGGUUGGGGAUGGACUCGCGGCUUAUCAGCUUGAUGGUGGGGUAGUGGUAUACCAAGGCUUUGACGGAUAGCCGGCCUGAGAGGGUGACCGGCGACAUUGGUACUGAGAUACGGCCCAGACUGGUACGGGAGGCAGCAGGGGGGAAUAUUGCACAAUGGGCGGAAGCCUGAGGCAGCAACGCCGCGUGCGGGAUGACGGCCUUCGAGUUGUAAACCGCUGUCGCCUGUAACGAAGCGUGAGUGACGGUAAUGGGUAAAGAAGCACCGGCUAACUACGUG